UAAAGAAUUUCGGUCAUCGAUGGGGAUGCGUUCCAUUAGCUUGUUGGCGGGGUAACGGCCCACCAAGGCAUCGAUGGAUAGGGGUUCUGAGAGGAAGGUCCCCCACAUUGGAACUGAGACACGGUCCAAACUCCUACGGGAGGCAGCAGUGAGGAAUAUUGGUCAAUGGGCGCUAGCCUGAACCAGCCAAGUAGCGUGAAGGAUGACUGCCCUAUGGGUUGUAAACUUCUUUUAUAUGGGAAUAAAGUGCAGUAUGUAUACUGCUUUGCAUGUACCUUAUGAAUAAGGAUCGGCUAACUCCGUGCCAGCAGCCGCGGUAAUACGGAGGAUCCGAGCGUUAUCCGGAUUUAUUGGGUUUAAAGGGAGCGUAGGCGGGUUGUUAAGUCAGUUGUGAAAGUUUGCGGCUCAACCGUAAAAUUGCAGUUGAUACUGGCAUCCUUGAGUACAGUAGAGGUAGGCGGAAUUCGUGGUGUAGCGGUGAAAUGCUUAGAUAUCACGAAGAACUCCGAUUGCGAAGGCAGCCUGCUGGACUGUAACUGACGCUGAUGCUCGAAAGUGUGGGUAUCAAACAGGAUUAGAUACCCUGGUAGUCCACACAGUAAACGAUGAAUACUCGCUGUUUGCGAUAUACAGUAAGCGGC
rnacentral:rRNA from 1 species